AUCGCAAGGGAUGGGCAUGCGUCGCAUUAGCUAGUCGGCGGGGUAACGGCCCACCGAGGCGACGAUGCGUAGGGGUUCUGAGAGGAAGGUCCCCCACACUGGUACUGAGACACGGACCAGACUCCUACGGGAGGCAGCAG
rnacentral:rRNA from 1 species